UGUUCUGUGGCUUAGUUGAUUAAAGCGCUGGUCUAGCAUGGGUUCGAAUCCCACCAGAACGG
rnacentral:tRNA from 1 species